rnacentral:tRNA from 1 species
GCGGGAGUAGCUCAGAUGGUAGAGCGCUAGCCUUCCAAGCUGGAUGUCGCGGGUUCGAGCCCCGUCUCCCGCUCCA